GCGCGAUUUAAAGACGCAAACCAGGGUUGAACCGAUUAAUCGGUUGAUUUACUCAAGAACAAGCAAAAAGGAGAGAAAUCCGUUUUCUAUCACUCUAAGCCCGAAAGGUAGUGAACGAUGGCGCCCAACCACUCUGGAGUUAAUUUGAAUGCCGAAGAGAAGAAGAAAUGGGCCGAACUCUCACAACUACCCUACCGGG